rnacentral:misc_RNA from 1 species
UAAUGAUAGACAAAUCAAUGGGUUAUGGGAGGAAAUGGCAGAGGCAAGGAAACAUCUAGAUAAAUUGGAAACCAUCAAAGGAUUACUCAACUCUUUGGUAAAAGGUAAGUCCACUACUGACGACUUGAAAGCUGGCACUGUUGCACAACUGUUAAGGGCCCUCGCGUAGGAUCGAGUUAAUGGACGAUGAAUAGGGUAAUCCUCCUCAGAUCGAGAAGACAUUCCCUUGCUGAUGUUCCUGCCUU